rnacentral:rRNA from 1 species
GAUGAACGCUGGCGGCGUGCCUAAUACAUGCAAGUCGAGCGAACAGACGAGGCGCUUGCUCCUCUGACGUUAGCGGCGGACGGGUGAGUAACACGUGGAUAACCUACCUAUAAGACUGGGAUCACUUCGUGAAACCGGAUCUAAUACCGGAUAACAUGUUGAACCGCAUGGUUUAACAGUGAAAGACGGUCUUGCUGUCACUUCUAGAUGGAUCCGCGCCGCAUUAGCUAGUUGGUAAGGUAACGGCUUACCAAGGCAACGAUGCGUAGCCGACCUGAGAGGGGGAUCGGCCACACUGGAACUGAGACACGGUCCAGAGUCCUACGGGAGGCAGCAGUAGGGAAUGUGCCGCAAUGGGCGAAAGCCUGACGGAGCAACGCCGCGUGAGUGAAGAAGGUCUUCGGAUCGUAAAACUCUGUUAUUAGGGAAGAACAAAUGUGUAAGUAACUAUGCACGGCUUGACGGUACCUAAUCAGAAAGCAACGGCUAACUACGUG